GAUGAAGAACGCAGCGAAAUGCGAUACUUGGUGUGAAUUGCAGAAUCCCGUGAACCAUCGAGUCUUUGAACGCAAGUUGCGCCCGAAGCCACUAGGCCGAGGGCACGCCUGCCUGGGCGUCACACGUCGUUGCCCCCCCCCCCAUCUACUCCUUCGGGAUUGCGGGGGGCGGAUGAUGGCCUCCAGUGCGCCUAGCCGCGCGGUUGGCAUAAAUACCAAGUCCUCGGCGACGCACGCCACGACAAUCGGUGGUUGCGAAACCUCGGUUGCCCGUCGUGUGCGUUCGUCGCGCAUCGAGGGCUCGAAAAAAUGCUCGGCUCCGGCUCGGCUUUCAACGCGACCCCAGGUCAGGCGGGGUUACCCGCUGAAUUUAAGCAUAUCAAUAAGCGGAGGA
rnacentral:misc_RNA from 1 species